CCUCCGAACUAUUUCAAGUUUUAUGUUCUUUCACUUUUUUUAUAAACACAAUUUUUGUUUUCUUUGGAAUGAACGUUCUGCGUUCGGUUCCUUUUUUCUUUCAAUUCUGGAUGUAAACCUCACAGUCACACGAUUCAUAUGGGUUCCUGAUCAGUACCUAGCUUUAAGAGGACAUAGGCCCUCACUUCACCGACAGAGGCACACCUGUCCGACCGGAAGUUGCGAUGACGCUACCAUCUUUAUGUAAACAUCCCAAGCACUUCGAUUCUCUUUCAGUCUUUUUUUUCUUCUCCGUUUCGCCAGGAUGUUGGCUACAGUCCCGACGCGCUGUUUCCACCGGCCAGAUGGGGAACAGCACAUCAUCAUCUUUGGGGAAGUCAGCAACUGCUCCUGUGAAUCAGAUUCAAGAAACAAUUUCUGAUAAUUGUGUGGUGAUUUUCUCAAAAACAUCUUGUUCUUACUGUACGAUGGCGAAAAAACUUUUCCAUGACAUGAAUGUUAACUAUAAAGUAGUGGAAUUGGACAUGCUUGAACAUGGAAGUCAAUUUCAAGAUGCUCUCUACAAAAUGACCGGUGAAAGAACCGUACCAAGAAUAUUUGUCAAUGGAACUUUUAUUGGAGGUGCAACUGACACUCAUAGGCUUCACAAAGAAGGGAAACUGCUUCCACUAGUUCAUCAGUGUUAUUUAAAAAAAAGGGUAGAGACAGAUGGAGAGAGAGAAUCCCAAGAAGGCUUCACGCUGUCAGCACUGAGCCUGACACGGAGCUCGAACCCACAACUAUGAGAUCAUGACCUGAGCCGUAGUCAAGAGUCAGAUGCUUAACCGACUGAGCCACCCAGGCACUCUGAGCAACAGCAGGAUGGACACUUCCAGCAAAGGUCUCAUUAUCAGUGAAGACAAUGAAGACAUCAGCAGCUGUGUUUGUCAUUUGAGCCCAGAUCAUUGGAAGAGAGCAAUCAGUUCCACCUGCUGGGAUCUAAUGCAAAACAAAAACAUGGAUUAGAAUAAAAGUGCCCUAGUUUCCAUA